CCUGUGGUGGUUCAGUGGUAGAAUUCUCACCUUCCACAUGGGAGACCAUGGUUCAAUUCCCGGCCAAAGCA
rnacentral:tRNA from 1 species